UGUCCGAUGGUGUAACUGGCAACACGUCUGAUUUUGGUUCAGAAGAGUCCAGGUUCGAAACCUGGUCGGACAAC
rnacentral:tRNA from 2 species